rnacentral:tRNA from 1 species
GCGCCCGUAGCUCAACGGACAGAGCACCGGCCUUCUAAGCCGGGGGUUGUGGGUUCGAUUCCCGCCGGGCGUGCCA